GCAUCAGUGGUGUAGCGGUAACAUUGGGUCUUCCCAGGAUUACUUAAUCAGAAAUGGCCUAGCUCCGGGUUCGACUCCCGGCUGAUGCA